rfam:Stenotrophomonas koreensis strain DSM 17805 contig_5, whole genome shotgun sequence.
UCUGGCGAUCACAGCGUUGUGGAACCACCCGAUCCCAUCCCGAACUCGACAAGUGAAACGCAGCCGCGCCGAUGGUAGUGCCGCCUAAGCGGUGCGAGAGUAGGUCAUCGCCAGUU